rnacentral:rRNA from 1 species
GAUGAACGCUGGCGGCGUGCCUAAUACAUGCAAGUCGAACGCUGAAGGAGGAGCUUGCUCUUCUGGAUGAGUUGCGAACGGGUGAGUAACGCGUAGGUAACCUGCCUGGUAGCGGGGGAUAACUAUUGGAAACGAUAGCUAAUACCGCAUGACAACAGUUAUUGCAUGAUAACUGUUUAAAAGGGGCAACUGCUCCACUACCAGAUGGACCUGCGUUGUAUUAGCUAGUUGGUGAGGUAACGGCUCACCAAGGCGACGAUACAUAGCCGACCUGAGAGGGUGAUCGGCCACACUGGGACUGAGACACGGCCCAGACUCCUACGGGAGGCAGCAGGAGGGAAUCUUCGGCAAUGGACGGAAGUCUGACCGAGCAACGCCGCGUGAGUGAAGAAGGUUUUCGGAUCGUAAAGCUCUGUUGUAAGAGAAGAACGAGUGUGAGAGUGGAAAGUUCACACUGUGACGGUAUCUUACCAGAAAGAGACGGCUAACUACGUG